rnacentral:rRNA from 1 species
GCUUUACAAUUUACUUGUUUAAUUUGUUUGGUUGUUUUUUAGUUUUACAAGGAAGUUGUUUCGUUGGGGUGACGGGAAGAUAAACGUAACUCUUCUUAAAUUUUGACACUGAUGAGUGGUUAAUUGAUCCAUAAGAAUGAUUAAAAGACUAAGU